AUGUCGCCGCCUCCCAACCCAAGCCGCAGCCUCGGUGCCCCUCAUCUUCUUGUCUGGUGGCCUCAUUGGCGGCAAGAGGAGUGGGGGCCCAUCCGUCUCGUUUUAUUUUUCUUAGGUUUUUGCUUCUCCAACAUCAUCGACGAGGUGGUGGCGACGAUGGCGUGUGACGCUGUGUUCUCACCGACGAGCAGGGGCGAGGCGUUUAUAUACGCGGGCGUGGGGGAUUCGGCGUGCACCGAGAGGCAGGGGAAACAGGGGGCUUCCGUCGCUGGUUUCGGGCCAGUAGACUACACCAGAACCAGGGUUCCCAAAAACCAGGGGUCGGGUUGGACCGCCAGUGGGUGGGUAGAUACGGGGAACCAGCAGAUGGGAAACGAGAAACGGGUUGAUCGUUCCGCUCCACCGCCUGGCCGGCGCCGUACAUCGAUCCAGCCGGCGGCGAGGGCGCUCGUGUACAUCACCGACGUCCAGUCCAGUUGCACGCCACCGCGGAAGAAAGAAAUGCGGCGCAGUAAACAGGUCACAUGGCUCGCGCCGCACCCACUGGUCUCCCGUCUCCCCGCUUUGGCGUCGUUCCUUGGUUCACGCUGUCUCGUUCCUCGUUUCAGCCCGGCCGCACGAGCCCAAACCGUGGGCGCUCGAGCCCGAUGCCCAGCAAGCGCGUCGCUGGACGGGUCAGGCACGUUCGAACAAAGACGUCGGCGUCUCCUUCACCUGAACGUGGAACCCGAUAAAAUCGCCUUGUCAGUGUGCGCUCCGGUCCACCCGCGUUUGGCCCAGAGGAACGGGCUGGUAGGCUGCAUCGGCGCGUCCGUGUCAGCACAGCAGGCCGGCAUCGGCAUGUGCAACGGGCGGGGCUGCAAGCGGGAGUCCGCCGUCCGCGCGUCGCUGUGGCUGGGCGAGCGCCAGACUGCGUCCGCGGCCGGCGGGCCGGGGCGGGGGCGGCACUGCGCGACAACGAAGCCUGAGGCUGGCGUUGAUCAUACGGUGGUGAUGAGGACGAGUCUGUCGAAGGCGGAGCCGAUGGCGCGGGAGCCGCCGCGUCAGACAACGGGAGCUGAGGCCGAGAUCGCCAAGACGGAGAAGCUCCUGCACUUGCUCCUCUGGGGGCCUAACUGA
rnacentral:rRNA from 1 species